rfam:Hordeum vulgare subsp. vulgare, WGS project CAJW01000000 data, contig: morex_contig_62353
ACCGGGAAGAGGAAGAAAUGAACAUCUAAAAGCAUUGGGCAUGGGUGCAUGGAGGAAGGCCUAAACUUGUGUUUCCCUCUACUAUGGUCCAACAUUUGUUUCGGAACUUUCCCGAUGCCUCACAUGCCUAUUGUUUUUAGGUGAUCCUUCCUCUUCCUUUGGAUU